rnacentral:hammerhead_ribozyme from 1 species
AUCUAACUGAUGAGUCCGAAAUAGAACGAAAUGCACGUCAAACUGGAU